UCCGUAGGUGAACCUGCGGAAGGAUCAUUAACGCUAAUCCAAACCUACUCAACCAAGCUUGUAAGUUGCGGCGCGAGCUGCAGCCUAAAACACUAACCAAAAGAAGCUUAACUAAGCCGAACCAAAAACAAAUCCUCAACGAUGGAUAUCUAGGUUCCUACAACGAUGAAGAACGCAGCGAAGUGCGAUAAGCAAUGCGAAUUGCAGAACCGUGAGUCAUCAGAUUUUUGAACGCAACUGGCAGCUACGGGCCUUCCCGUAGCUAUGCUCGUUUCAGUAUGUCUUUAUCUCCUCACCCAAAUGAUAAUGUGGCAGAUGCCCUUCUGCCGCCAAACAGGAAAGCACUCUGCUCUUUGCAGUGGCCUCGGCCACACUCAAUGCAGACGUCACAUUCUUUAAUGUGAACUCAUUGAUGGUGAAGACAGCGCGGUUUGCGCCGCAAGUGCUUGGAGACACUAAUUUUCCCAACAUCUGAAGCGAGUAGGAGUACCCGCUGAACUUAAGCAUAUCAAUA
rnacentral:rRNA from 1 species